AACGAACGCUGGCGGCAUGCCUAACACAUGCAAGUCGAACGAACCCUUCGGGGUUAGUGGCGCACGGGUGCGUAACGCGUGGGAAUCUGCCCUUUGCUUCGGAAUAACAGUUAGAAAUGACUGCUAAUACCGGAUGAUGUCUUCGGACCAAAGAUUUAUCGGCCAGGGAUGAGCCCGCGUAGGAUUAGGUAGUUGGUGGGGUAAGGGCCUACCAAGCCGACGAUCCUUAGCUGGUCUGAGAGGAUGAUCAGCCACACUGGGCCUGAGACACGGCCCAGACUCCUACGGGAGGCAGCAGUGGGGAAUAGUGGACAAUGGGCGCAAGCCUGAUCCAGCAAUGCCGCGUGAGUGAUGAAGGCCGUCGGGUCGUAAAGCUCUUUUACCAGGGAUGAUAAUGACAGUACCUGGAGAAUAAGCUCCGGCUAACUCCGUGCCAGCAGCCGCCGUAA
rnacentral:rRNA from 1 species